rnacentral:rRNA from 1 species
CAAUAGCGUAUAUUUAAGUUGUUGCAGUUAAAAAGCUCGUAGUCGGAUUUUGGCUGAGAACGAUCGGUCCGCCGUUAGGUGUGCACUGAUUGGUCUCAGCUUCCUGGUGAGGAGGUGUGCUUCACGGCCACUUAGUCACCGUGGUUACUUUGAAAAAAUUAGAGUGUUCAAAGCGGGCUUACGCUUGAAUAUAUUAGCAUGGAAUAACACCAUAGGACUCCUGUCCUAUUUCGUUGGUCUCGGGACGGGAGUAAUGAUUAAGAGGAACAGUUGGGGGCAUUCGUAUUUCAUUGUCAGAGGUGAAAUUCUUGGAUUUAUGAAAGACGAACUUCUGCGAAAGCAUUCGCCAUGGAUGUUUUCAUUAA